UAGCCCUGUUUUUAAGAGCGUUUAUCUAAAAGCUAAUUAUAAUUAUUAAGUUAAUUAUGUUUCGAUACUCUUAUUUUAUUUGAGUUAGAGUUGAAUUAUAUUGACGUGUUGGUUAUGUAUUUAUUUAUUUAAUUGUAUGAGAUUAUUAUUAUUAUUAUUUUAUAUUUUGGGUUUGUGCAAUUAGUUGAGUGGUAUUUUGCAAAUUAGAAAACCAUAUUUGGUGUUAUUCUCGAACCAUCCGGUCCUCUAAAACUUUUGUCGGUUAAUGAAUUAAUAACCCCCUCCCCCUUUGGUUAUUUUGUCGGUAUUAUUUUCAUUCAAAUCAAAACCCUCAAUCUUUCUCCCUCUUGCCAUUCCUCUGCUUGAAGAAAUCCCCAAACCCAAAUCUUCUUCCUCCUCGACCUCUCUUUCACUCGCGAAACCCAAAAUCCCCAGACUCGUGAAAUUCUCUCGCUCACCUUCGCCUGUGUUUCGCCGGCGUUUCUUCCUGGCUCGUCGGAGCCACGCUCUCUUUUCCCUUCGUGUUUUCUCUCUCCUCUGAUUCGUGGUUUGUGGUUCGUUCUGGCCUGCUGCUGCCUCGAGAAUCGACAAACAGUCGCCGGAACCUCGUCGCUGGCGUCUCGCUGCUGUUGUUCACUCUUGUCGGCUCGCCGUCACCACUCACCGGAGGCCCGAACUCCCCUCCCCUGUUCUUGCUCUCGCUGCCGCUGUUAUUGGUUGUUGCUGCCGCCUUGCGCUUGAUGCCGCUGUCGACGCCGACGCUGACGCUGUGUAUGGGUGUUCAUAAUUUGUCAAGUACCAAAGUAUCUUAUAUGUUUCAGGUUGAAGCCGUGAGUUAUUCUUUUGCAAGCCGAAGCGGAUACGAGAUGGUGCAGUAUUAUAUUUGUUAUUGAAGUGAGGACGCUCCACUUGUAAUAGUUAAUCGUUUAUUUUCUAUAAUUUAUUUCUUCAUUUAAGAAUCGUGAGCUAGUGAUCCUGAUUCUCUGUUGGUUGUUGCUCCGCGAAAGCGUUGAGGUUGUUCAGCUUUGGGAUUUGGAAAUAUUUUAUAAAUUGAAUCUGCAAACAGGUUUAAAUCA